AUUGAACGCUGGCGGCAUGCUUUACACAUGCAAGUCGAACGGUAACAGGGUGCUUGCACCGCUGACGAGUGGCGAACGGGUGAGUAAUGCAUCGGAACGUACCCAGUCGUGGGGGAUAACGUAGCGAAAGUUACGCUAAUACCGCAUACGUCCUGAGGGAGAAAGCGGGGGACCGUAAGGCCUCGCGCGAUUGGAGCGGCCGAUGUCGGAUUAGCUAGUUGGUGGGGUAAAGGCCUACCAAGGCGACGAUCCGUAGCGGGUCUGAGAGGAUGAUCCGCCACACUGGGACUGAGACACGGCCCAGACUCCUACGGGAGGCAGCAGUGGGGAAUUUUGGACAAUGGGCGGAAGCCUGAUCCAGCCAUGCCGCGUGAGUGAAGAAGGCC
rnacentral:rRNA from 1 species